GUAUCCUAGGACGAUCUUCACUAGCCUUUGAAGAGAGUCCGGGUGGUGAACUAUUUAUAACCCCUUUAUUAAUUGGGAUCUGGAUCUUGGUCCUCUUGAUCUGAAAUGGUUAAUGAAAAUGUGAGCUACACUAUCUAAGUAAGAAUAUCACACUACUCACCGAUACAGAAAUGAAGGUUGGUAAAAAUCAUAAAACAACCAAUAAAC
rnacentral:lncRNA from 1 species